rnacentral:rRNA from 1 species
UACGUAGGGGGCAAGCGUUGUCCGGAUUCAUUGGGCGUAAAGGGUGCGUAGGUGGGUUGGUAAGUCAGUGGUGAAAUACUUUCGCUUAACGAAGGAACUGCCAUUGAUACUACCAGUCUUGAAUACAGUGGAGGUAGGCGGAAUGCGUCAUGUAGCGGUGAAAUGCUUAGAUAUGACGCAGAACAUCGAUUGCGAAGGCAGCUUACUAGGCUUUAACUGACGCUGAGGCACGAAAGUGUGGGGAUCAAACAGG